UAGAAAGAUUAGUUUUGUUUUGUUUCCUCAGAAAAGGAACAUGUCUGGAAAUUUCUUGAUGUGGUAAUCACAUACGCUGCAGAUUGCAAAGCUCUAGAUCUGGUUUCUAAACCACUCAUCUAUGCUGUAGCAGAUCCUACAAUUCGUUUUUGUUCAUGUUUCAUAUUCGAAGUGAGAAACAGUGUUUUUCAGUCCAGUUAUAACUCCAACAAAUUGGCUGUUGAAUAAUCAUCCAAACAAAAGGUACAUAUCAGGGUUUGGUCACAUGUCUCUGUGGACCCUGUCUCUGGGAUUUUACAGCAUCAGAUGCUUGUUACCAGGGCAUCGCUGUUGCUAGGUAAACAGUUUAUUCUCGGAAAGGAUCAGAUUUCAGAUUUCGUUUGCGACAAGCAGAAGACAUCUUGGGCAAGCUUGCAGGUGACAGGAAGUGUGCAGGAGGACAGGUGGGCCAGAGAGAGAUCCAGAUCUCCUCCCCAACAGCUGAUGGCCUUCACAGAGCCCUAUCCAAGCUUUGUUCUUGUCCCUCACUGACCACUGAGUACUUUUCCAUGUCACAGCAAGGCCCUAAAGAGUCCAAAAUCCAUCUGCACAUGACAUAAGCUGGGAGAGGUUUCCUCUGUAUGCUAAUCCGGAACUAGUCUGAUGGUUGCCUUACAAAAAACAAGUCCUAGUGAUGUUUCUUUAGGACAUUUGGAUGGAGUCUGCAAUGUCUGCGCUUUUCCAGAUAUGAAGACACUGGGGCAUUCCCAGUCCAGACACUAAUGGAGCCUCGGACAGGGAAUUGCAAGUCUGUUCAGAACACUGUGUUCUUACUGUUCUUUGUCUUAGCUCAUGAAAAAACAACAACAGGUAUUCAUGUGUCAAUAUUAAAACAUAGGUAGGAAAACAUUUGUGUAGUACAUUGUGUCACAGUACAUUUGGAGCUGAAGCGUAAUAUCUAAGUGUGUAAUAAGAGGAAAAGAAAAGGCAGUGUCUGUGUAUAAGAGCAUUACUGUGCGCUUAGUAAAGCCUGAGAGGUUUGGUUACAUAAUUGCUAGAAUAACAGUCAUAUCUUGUCAACAUGGGGGUACACAGUGGAAAGUACUUUAUAACAACAGUGUGUCUGUUUGGGAUUUAGCACCACCUUGCUGGGUGAUGAGUCUAUUCAGCUGAUAUCUGGGGUUUAAAAGGUGGAUCUCAAAACAAAAGCUGGGAUCAUAUUUAUCCCUCUAUAAUCUUAGAUGUCAAACGGAAAAGCCAAACGUUUUAAAUUGAAUCAAGCGUUUUAAAAUCAAGUCUUACUAAAGGCAUUAUGUGAACUUAAUUUACUCAGCUAUGUUACUAUGCUGAAAGAACAUAGUAAGAACAUACAAAGUGGGAAGAAUAGAUUUACUUUACUUUAUUGCAUUCAUGUUAAUUCGGAUGUUAGAUUAGAAAUUUUCUCAUGUUUACAUUAAAGGUGAGACAAUAUACAUUCUCUCUCUCUCUCUCUCUCUCUCUCUCUCUCUCUCUCUCUCUCUCUCUCUCUCUACUCUCUCUAUAUAUGUUUGUGUCUCUUUUGUAACAUGUUGCAUAUGUUAAACUAUGGCUGUAUAUAAAUUGAGGAGCAUAGAGAAGGUUAUGUUUAAAGAUGGCGCCAUCGUGAGGUUAAAAGAUUUUCUGCACAUCCUGGAUGCACUAACUAAAUGUCAUCUGGUGCUCUGUGUAGAGACUCAGGGUCUGCUGUGAAUUUUAAAAAAUCUGUCUCUCUUUUCCCAUUUCUGCAGCACACCCACAUAAAAACAGCUUUUGAAAAGGUCCCAAAGUGGAGUUGGACAUGGGUCAAACACAACACUGAGACAUGUCAGGAGACAAUAGAAGUGAUCAGAUUACACUCCAAAUUCCAGGAAAGGAUUAGUUUUGAUUGGCUGAAUGUCUGUGCAAACAAUGCUGUAUAAUAAUACAAGAUCAAAAACACAACUAUAGUUUGAAACCUGGACUCUUAUUAGGGCCUUGUUGCUAAUCGCAAAGGGCAAGACUGAGAUAUUGAGUUGUUGUGUGUGAGAUAAUAACACUAACACAAAUAAUUGAAAAAGUUUGUACACCUGUAUGAUUGAAUCAACAAUAUAUAAAUGUAUGGUAAUGAGACAUAAUAGUAGUACAAAUGUAGUGUGAUUCUUGCCUCCUAACAAAAAUAUGACUGUAUGUCCACCCUGGGUUCAGUCCUGAGCUCAGGUUACUGUUAGCACAGAGAAUAUUCUGGUUUCAUUUGGUUUUUGUGGUAAUCCUCCAUGUAGUGCAGAAUUUAUGCCUCUAUAUUGUUCCAGGGUGUGAAUAUUCAUGUGAAAAUGUCCUGUCUUGCACCUAGUGUUGCUGUGAUAGGCUCAAGAUCCACUGUUCACUUGUCGAAGAUAAACCGUUUAAUAAAUUCAUAAAUACAGAAAUAAAUUAAUACAUUCCACUAUUUAUGAAAUUAUCUCACAAAGCAUGUGUGAGGCACAACAAGCCCACAUCUCCCAUCUGCCUGUAUGUGUCAUG